rnacentral:tRNA from 1 species
GCCUGAGUAGCUCAGUCAGUUGAGCAUCUGACUUCAGCUCAGGUCAUGAUCUCACGGCUUGUGAGUUCGAGCCCCGCAUGGGGCU